rnacentral:lncRNA from 1 species
AUAAAUGAACUGAACUUUAAUGAACGACGUGAACUCACGCAACAUGAAAUUAACAUCGAGUUGAAAGAUUUUUCAUUUGAUAGAAGGACAACUAGUAUAUGAAUAUAUAUAUAUAUAUAUAUAUAUAUAUAUAUAUAUAUGAGGUUUAAAUUAGGUGAAUAACAUUUACAAUGAUAAGAUGGUUAAUGGCACAACAAUUAAUUGGCCAAAGGGCAAAAUUAAGCCAUUUGAUUAUUUUGGAUCAUCUUGUUUACCGAA